UGAACGCUGGCGGCAGGCCUAACACAUGCAAGUCGAGCGGAUGAAGGGAGCUUGCUCCUGGAUUCAGCGGCGGACGGGUGAGUAAUGCCUAGGAAUCUGCCUGGUAGUGGGGGAUAACGUCCGGAAACGGGCGCUAAUACCGCAUACGUCCUGAGGGAGAAAGUGGGGGAUCUUCGGACCUCACGCUAUCAGAUGAGCCUAGGUCGGAUUAGCUAGUUGGUGGGGUAAAGGCCUACCAAGGCGACGAUCCGUAACUGGUCUGAGAGGAUGAUCAGUCUCACUGGAACUGAGACACGGUCCAGACUCCUACGGGAGGCAGCAGUGGGGAAUAUUGGACAAUGGGCGAAAGCCUGAUCCAGCCAUGCCGCGUGUGUGAAGAAGGUCUUCGGAUUGUAAAGCACUUUAAGUUGGGAGGAAGGGCAGUAAGUUAAUACCUUGCUGUUUUGACGUUACCAACAGAAUAAGCACCGGCUAACUUCGUG
rnacentral:rRNA from 1 species